rnacentral:rRNA from 1 species
GAUGAACGCUGGCGGCGUGCCUAACACAUGCAAGUCGAGCGAUUUACUUCGGUAAAGAGCGGCGGACGGGUGAGUAACGCGUGGGUAACCUGCCUCAUACACAUGGAUAACAUACCGAAAGGUAUGCUAAUACAAGAUGAUAUAAGAGAUUCGCAUGGAUUUCUUAUCAAAGCUCCGGCGGUAUGAGAUGGACCCGCGUCUGAUUAGCUAGUUGGUAAGGUAACGGCUUACCAAGGCGACGAUCAGUAGCCGACCUGAGAGGGUGAUCGGCCACAUUGGAACUGAGACACGGUCCAAACUCCUACGGGAGGCAGCAGUGGGGAAUAUUGCACAAUGGGCGAAAGCCUGAUGCAGCAACGCCGCGUGAGUGAUGAAGGCCUUCGGGUCGUAAAACUCUGUCCUCAAGGAAGAUAAUGACGGUACUUGAGGAGGAAGCCCCGGCUAACUACGUGCCAGCAGCCGCGGUAAGAC